AUGCAGUUAUGCUUUAUUCUUUUUCUUCUUCAGAUAAUUUCAUUCCUUCAGCAAAAUGCCCACCCUUGUGUCAUCGACAAAAUACCACUAGUCCUAGAGAAUGUUACAGAUCAGGACAUGUUUGAGCAAUGCUGUGACCAUGCCAGGGAUAACAGGUACUUGCUGUGGGAGGACGCGAAGAAGAUGUGAUUGAUAGUGAACGCGGAGUUCCACCAAGAAAUGCGGGAGUUCCUGCGCAGGCAAAGAUGA
rnacentral:rRNA from 1 species